CGUUGUGCUUGUUUCUCUGCUACAAGCUUUUAAAACUGCACACGUUUCUCAAUCUCCUGCCACGGCCCUCUGCAUGAUUGCUACGUAUCUGCCAUGCUGAUCUCCAUUUCUCUUUACAGCCGCUAUAAAUAGAGGCCAUGCCCUCCGUUCCUCGCUGCAGCAGCCUAGAAGCUCCGCCAUGAUCAGUUGACGGUCUGUUUUGUUCAUCUGUGUGUGCCUAUUUUCUCAGGAAAAUAGAUCACAUAUGGAGAGGCAGCAGACUUUGAAACUUUGAUUGGAGGUCUACUUCUUCCUUAAAAGCAUGGGUGAAGGGAUGAUUUGAAUCAAACCAAACCCAGCUAAUAAAGGAUGAGUUAAGGCUUCGACCUCAGCUGAAGGCUCUGCCAUAGAAAUGGGUGUUGGCGUGGGAGAGUAACUAUAUCUAUAGAAAUGGUUAUGUUGUAUUACAUCUGGCCAGGAGGAGACCUUUAUAAAAGUGUCUCUUGGCAUCACAAAUGUAAUAUUUAUGAAUAAAAUAAGUGUUACAAUUUGAAUGCUUACCUUUCCGUACGACGAUGUAUUCUCCCAGAUAUAUAUAUUUGUUCAUGGCAGUUUAAAUGAAAAGAAGAAGAAGAGAUAUUUAGUCA